rnacentral:rRNA from 1 species
GGGGCCCGCACAAGCAGCGGAGCGUGUGGUUUAAUUCGAUUGAUACACGAAGAGCCUUACCAAGGUUUUGACAUGCAAGUGGUAGUGAGCUGAAAAGGGAACGACCCUUUCGGGGAGCUUGCACAGGUGCCGCAUGGCUGUCGUCAGCUCGUGUCGUGAGAUGUUCGGUUAAGUCCGCUAACGAGCGCAACCCUCACUGUGUGUUAUACGUGUCACACGGGACCGCCGGUUUUAAGCCGGAGGAAGGUGGGAUGACGUCAAGUCAGCAUGGCCUUUAUAUCUUGGGCCACACACACGCUACAAUGGCCAGUACAAUGGGAUGCCAAGCCGCAAGGCGGAGCCAACCCUCAAAGCUGGUCUCAGUUCGGAUUGCAGGCUGCAACUCGCCUGCAUGAAGUCGGAGUUGCUAGUAAACGCCGGUCAGCUAUACGGCGUUGAAUACGUUCCCGGGCCUU